UAGCUCACUUGGUAAAUCACCUGCCUGCAAUGCAGGAGACCCGGGUUCAAUUCCUGG
rfam:TPA: Bos taurus chromosome 18, whole genome shotgun sequence.